rnacentral:lncRNA from 1 species
GUGUGACAUAGUGAGGUGGUUCUAUUAUUAGACUCUCACCGUCUGCUUUCAAAAAAUAGGAUGUGCCCUUCCUUUAGUGCCAAUCUGGUAUGCUCCUCUCCAAUCGGGACGAUGUGGCAUGAGCGGUGCAAUGGGGACUACCACUAGGCUGGAGUGAGAGAUGUCGAACAGGGUCUCUUGGUACCUGCAAGAAAAGUCUGCAU